GCUGCUAUGGCUCAGUAGGUAGAGCACUUCCUUGGUAAGGAAGAGGUCACCGGUUCAAAUCCGGUUAGCAGCUCCA
rnacentral:tRNA from 1 species